rnacentral:lncRNA from 10 species
GUCUCGUCUAGGGCCGGCUGGACGCCCCAGAGGCCGGACCUGGGCAACCCCAGCCUGGAGGUGCCGGGGCCGGAGCUCCCAGAGGGCUGGGUGCGAGGCCUAGGCGGGGUCAGGUUCGGGUUCCUAGGCCAUAGCGGAGCUGCAGCCCAGGCGGCCGGAGCGGAACCCAGCCCCGCUCCGAGUGCCACGUCUCCAGGAACCCCCUCCUUACUCUUGGACAACACUCCGCCCCCGCCCGGGCCUCCGUCCCCCAAACCGCCCUCAUUUGUGCAGCGCCAGAUCCUUCGGACACAUCCCUAGGUGUCUCCAUCCUCAUUCGGUCCAUCCAACUCCCAGACCUCACGUCAACCGGCUGCACCCCACUUUCCAGCCUGCGCCCCAGAUCUGCAGCCUUCGCCCCUAGAUACACCCGCCUGGUGAUGAGGCGCUCCUCGCGUUCCUUCCGGUAACCGCGUUGCGAAGACCACGCUGCCGGGUUGCAAACUUGGGGGGACUUCCUCCCUCCCCUCCCCCUGGGCGCCGUGCAACUGCCCUGGGACCGGGUUCUGGGAUGAGGGGGGCAGACCGGGCUCCCCAGCGGCCGGCGCAGCACGUAGCGCACGUGUAGGGUCCGCUCCCCACCCCCUCGCCGCCUCUGACAACUUUUCAGGGCUCCAGGUGUCCGUGAGCCUCCCUUCCGCCCUGGCCUCCGGUCUCUGCCUUGCUCGUGCUUCUACCACCACCCUUCCCCUCCCAACCCGGUGGAUCCUCUCGUCUCCCCCAGUCUCCAGUGCACCGGCUUUCCCUCGUCCUCUGCGCAGUCCAUCUCAGCUCAUCUCUCCAAUUCAAUGCCAUCAUCUCUCCUCACCAUCUCUCGGUGCCCUGGAAUGUUUGCUGUCAGAUGUCCCCUGUGAAACCCACAAACGCUUGCGAUUUGGCCUCCUUGUUUUAUUUUGUGUAGUCCUACAACGUCUUGUUACUACCCCCUAUUACAACACUUAUAACUCA